AGUCGAGCGGUAGAGAGAAGCUUGCUUCUCUUGAGAGCGGCGGACGGGUGAGUAAUGCCUAGGAAUCUGCCUGGUAGUGGGGGAUAACGUUCGGAAACGGACGCUAAUACCGCAUACGUCCUACGGGAGAAAGCAGGGGACCUUCGGGCCUUGCGCUAUCAGAUGAGCCUAGGUCGGAUUAGCUAGUUGGUGAGGUAAUGGCUCACCAAGGCGACGAUCCGUAACUGGUCUGAGAGGAUGAUCAGUCACACUGGAACUGAGACACGGUCCAGACUCCUACGGGAGGCAGCAGUGGGGAAUAUUGGACAAUGGGCGAAAGCCUGAUCCAGCCAUGCCGCGUGUGUGAAGAAGGUCUUCGGAUUGUAAAGCACUUUAAGUUGGGAGGAAGGGCAGUUACCUAAUACGUGAUUGUUUUGACGUUACCGACAGAAUAAGCACCGGCUAACUCUGUGCCAGCAGCCGCGGUAAUACAGAGGGUGCAAGCGUUAAUCGGAAUUACUGGGCGUAAAGCGCGCGUAGGUGGUUUGUUAAGUUGGAUGUGAAAUCCCCGGGCUCAACCUGGGAACUGCAUUCAAAACUGACUGACUAGAGUAUGGUAGAGGGUGGUGGAAUUUCCUGUGUAGCGGUGAAAUGCGUAGAUAUAGGAAGGAACACCGGUGGCGAAGGCGACCACCUGGACUAAUACUGACACUGAGGUGCGAAAGCGUGGGGAGCAAACAGGAUUAGAUACCCUGGUAGUCCACGCCGUAAACGAUGUCAACUAGCCGUUGGAAGCCUUGAGCUUUUAGUGGCGCAGCUAACGCAUUAAGUUGACCGCCUGGGGAGUACGGCCG
rnacentral:rRNA from 1 species